rnacentral:rRNA from 1 species
AUGAACGCUGGCGGCAUGCCUAACACAUGCAAGUCGAACGAGAUCUUCGGAUCUAGUGGCGCACGGGUGAGUAACGCGUGGGAACCUACCUUUUAGUACGGGACAACGUUUGGAAACGAACGCUAAUACCGUAUACGCCCUCCGGGGGAAAGGUCAGCCGCUAAAAGAGGGGCCCGCGUCUGAUUAGCUUGUUGGUAAGGUAAUGGCUUACCAAGGCUACGAUCAGUAGCUGGUCUGAGAGGAUGAUCAGCCACACUGGGACUGAGACACGGCCCAGACUCCUACGGGAGGCAGCAGUGGGGAAUAUUGGACAAUGGAGGCAACUCUGAUCCAGCAAUGCCGCGUGUGUGAUGAAGGCCCUAGGGUUGUAAAGCACUUUCAACGGUGAAGAUGAUGACGGUAGCCGUAGAAGAAGCCCCGGCUAACUUCGUG